rnacentral:tRNA from 1 species
GCACCUGUAGCUCAACUGGAUAGAGCACCGGACUACGAAUCCGGAGGUUAUAGGUUCGAAUCCUAUCAGGUGUA